CGGAGGAAAAGAAACUAACAAGGAUUCCCCUAGUAACUGCGAGUGAAGCGGGAAGAGCUCAAAUUUGUAAUCUGGCUUCGGCCCGAGUUGUAAUCUAGAGAAGCGUAUCAGGCUCCGACCGUGCUAAAGUCCCUUGGAACAGGGUGUCAUAGAGGGUGAGAAUCCCGUGCUUGGCAUGGCUGCGGAGGUGCAGAGGCGCUCUCGACGAGUCGAGUUGUUUGGGAAUGCAGCUCAAACCGGGUGGUAAACUCCAUCUAAAGCUAAAUAUUGGCGAGAGACCGAUAGCGAACAAGUACCGUGAGGGAAAGAUGAAAAGGACUUUGGAAAGAGAGUUAAACAGUACGUGAAAUUGCUGAAAGGGAAGCGCUUGAAGUGAGUCGCGCGGGCGGGAGUCAGCUCUGCGUAUUUCCUGCCCGCGGGCCAGCAUCGACUUCGGGCGGCGGAGAAGGGCUGGGGGAAUGUGGCACCUGCGGGUGUGUUAUAGCCCCCUGUCGGACACGCCGCCGGGGGUCGAGGACCGCGGCUUUUGCCUAGGAUGCUGGCGUAAUGGCUUUAAGCGACCCGUCUU
rnacentral:rRNA from 1 species